rnacentral:rRNA from 1 species
CACGUAGGGGGCGAGCGUUGUCCGGAUUUAUUGGGCGUAAAGAGCUCGUAGGCGGCUCGGUAAGUCGGGUGUGAAAUUUCGAGGCUCAACCUCGAAACGCCACUCGAUACUGCCAUGACUGGAGUCCGGUAGAGGAGUGCGGAAUUCCUGGUGUAGCGGUGAAAUGCGCAGAUAUCGGGAGGAACACCCGUAGCGAAGGCGGCACUCUGGGCCGGUACUGACGCUGAGGAGCGAAAGCGUGGGGAGCAAACAGG